rnacentral:misc_RNA from 1 species
AAAAUGCGAUACCUGGUGUGAAUUGCAGAAUCCCGCGAACCAUCGAGUUUUUGAACGCAAGUUGCGCCCGAGGCCUUCCGGCCGAGGGCACGCCUGCCUGGGCGUCACGCCAAAAGACGCUCCCCCCAGCCCCGGGCGGAGGGACGCGGCGUCUGGCCCCCCGCGCCGCAGGGCGCGGUGGGCCGAAGUCGGGGCUGCCGGCGUACCGUGCCGGGCGCAGCACAUGGUGGGCGACACGAGUUGUUCUCGGUGCAGCGCCCCGGCGCGCAGCCGGCGCAGCGGCCCUAAGGACCCAACCGACCGCAGCGCACGCCGCUCGGACCGCGACCCCAGGUCAGGCGGGACUACCCGCUGAGUUUAA